UCGGGAAUUUUGGGCAAUGGGCGAAAGCCUGACCCAGCAACGCCGCGUGAAGGAUGAAAUCCCUCGGGAUGUAAACUUCGCAAGAACGGGAAGAAUAAGUUUGUGCUAAUACCACAAGCGAUGACGGUACUGUUUGUAAGCUCCGGCUAACUCCGUGCCAGCAGCCGCGGUAAUACGGGGGGAGCAAGCGUUGUUCGGAUUUACUGGGCGUAAAGGGCGCGUAGGCGGCCUCCGCAAGUCAGUUGUGAAAUCUCCGAGCUUAACUCGGAAAGGUCAACUGAUACUGCGGGGCUAGAGUGCGGAAGGGGCAACUGGAAUUCUUGGUGUAGCGGUGAAAUGCGUAGAUAUCAAGAGGAACACCUGCGGCGAAGGCGGGUUGCUGGGCCGACACUGACGCUGAGGCGCGAAAGCUAGGGGAGCGAACGGG
rnacentral:rRNA from 1 species